CUCUAGGCGGAAGUGACGCAAGCGGUCAACGAACGCAGCCUCCGAAGGAAACGGCCGCUGAACUGAGACACGCCUACUGAGCAGUAGAGUUUGUUUCUAUUAUUUUAUUGGACUAUUUAAUUAUCGCGGGAGCAGCCACUUUUUGCAGGUUAACAGCUCGGUGCGCGGCCAAGUCUAUCUCAAGUCUGCCUGCCACGGACCACGGAGCUGUGUGCACAUGAGCGGAGGAUCACAUCUGUAGCACUGGACGAUCAUGCUAUUCUUCAAGGCGAUUCAUGCUGAGUGUGGAUCGAAACAUAGUACAGGACAACAUCCCCUCCUUGGUUUCUGCCCUGUCCAUGAUGUUUGGGAGCUAUUAUUGCUUCAACAUCGCCUACCCGUCAGAGCUGGCAUCCACCCUGGAGUUUGUCCAGAGGUGUUUUUUCUCCAUCAACCCAGAGAAGGGCACCAAAGUGGAGAAGACACGCGCAUCCCGUCUUCAGGUGAACCCGAGAGUCCUCACCUUGAUACAGGAACUUUCGGACCAUGAGUGGUGUGAUGUCUGAAUAUGGACAGUAAGAUCAAUGGCAUGUGGCGAUGUGCCCAAGUUACAGUUUGUUUGAUUGUUUAAAUCGUAGUUUUAAGUGCCUUUUUUUAAUGUUCUUUUAACUAAUUUUAAAAAAUGCAAUAUGUAACACUCAAAAUGUCAAACUAUUCUUUUAAGGUCAUUGUAGCCACUCUUGCGGUUUGCUGUUACAAAGUGAAGUUGCUUGAACAAUCUUCAUUUGGCUUAUGUGGAUGUAAAAGCUCAGGACAUUACUGUUGAGUGUAACAAUGUUGACAUGUUUUGUUUUCCACUUGGGUUUUUGCUUCUGAAGUGAAGGGUCUCUGCUGACCCUACCUCUUCACCUAUCUCACUUAGACACACACUCACAUGUGUUUUGCAACUGUAGCUUCAUCACGUACACACUUCCUUUAGCAAUGAACAUGUAUUCAACUAAAACAAUCCCUUAUUUUGGCUAAUUUACAGCUCAGUCUGUGGCUGUGACAGUCGAGUAUUAUAUUAUACAGGUGCCCACUAUAAGAGAUGAGACAUAUAAAGUACUAACAUAUUUAAAAACAUUAUUUCCCAUAAAUCAUUUGAUGUGAUGUAAGUAACCUCUCAACUUUGUUCAGCUUGAAUUUCCUGGACAAUGUGAGCUGUUUGUUUAUUGUGCAGCCUUAGUUUGUAUGUUUUACCAAUAUGUAUGUUGAGAAAUGACAGAUGUUUUUGAUCACUGCUAUUAUUUAUAUAUAUAUAUAUAUAUAUAUAUAUAUAUAUAUAUAUAUAUAUAUAUAUAUAAUAAAUUCUUGGAAAGGCAAGUUCUUGUUGGAAUUUGUUCAACUUUUAAUACAGUGGCUCUUGAGGUUUAUCUAGCUUUGCAUUUUAAAUGUUAAGUGCUUAAUCUGUGUGCCCUGGAUUACAUUCUUCACAUUUCUGGUAAUAGUCAAACAUAUAUACGAAGGCAGUGUAGUUUAAAUGAAAUCUUUCAAUCUGACUAAUGUAUAGGAAAAACAUUUUUUUUCCACUGAGCAAUAAUCCUUACAGGCGGUUUUAUACUAUAUAUUUGAGAUUGAUAUUCAUAGAACAGUUUUUUCUGCA